UUUAUCACAGGGCAUACGGCCUGAUCUGGGCAGUCAACAACUUGAUUUUUCUCUGUGUGAUUUGGAGGUAGUUAGUAAAGUGACAUAUUAUCCUCACCACUAAAAUUCCUACCUUCUCCUGUAAGCUGUUCCCCAAAGAUGUUAUCCCAUGAACACCAUUCCAUGAACUGCUGAUUCUGACCACCAAGUCUUGAAGUGAAUUUCCCUUUAUCCACCUCCCAGAUACACCGGAGGCAGGAGGGAGGGACAUACCAUGAGCAGCUAACCCUCUCUCCUCAUCUAAUUCACUUUCUAAAAACACUCCUUUCCAAAUUAGGGAAGUCACUUCCUACAUCCAUCUCAGUCACUCUCAAAACCACUCAGUUGCUCCUUUGCCCUUUCACCAAAGCCAGGUUUAGAAGAAGUGGAAUUUCAGGAAGAAAUAUUCCUUGGGCUUUGAAGAAGUCUCAGUACAGAUCCUUAAAUCGGCCCCAGCGCUUUGCCGGGAGCUGCCCACCAGUCAGCUAAACCUCUACCCAAGGACAAGGUCCAGGAGAGAGAUGAGGGAACGCGCAGUGGACCCUCAGAAGACGGCGGUCGGCCGCUCCUGAUCCUACUCAUGCUACUAAUCUUACCAAUAUUGCUCUUGCUGUUCCUUUUCUGUACGUGGGGAUAUCUUGGGGAAAAUCUCUCCAAGCAGGGGGAAAAGGUUGAUGUAACUUGGCCUUCUAGGGAAGGUUCAAGGGAGCAACAGCCUGAAGGGAAAAAACGUUCUGACCCCUCCUGGAAAGGCGGAAAAGGGAGCUUGGACAGCCCUCCAGGAGGAAGCCUUCCAAUAAUCAGCCUCAAAAGAGAACAUUCCCUCCUCAAGUAUUAUUAUCCUAGGCCUGUUAGGACAGGAGGUAAAUGGUGGCACCCACCCAGGAGCAAAGGUAUGCAAAAGGUGCACUCUCCUAAAACAACCCAUAACCCUGAUGAGGUUGCAAAGAAAUAUCAUAAUAUAUUGAUACAGAGGAACUGGGAUUAUGAUGAGGAUUGGAAACCCUAUAAAAUAGUUAAUGGUAAAAGAGAAACCCCAGGCACUGUGCCUGUAUGGCUUUCGCUCAGACGGAGAUGAGGGCCUCCGUGUACUUGGUCCCCUUAUACUUUGCAAUACUCCUGCUUUCGUUAUUACAGGAAUAAAGAUAGAGGCUUAGGGUCAUUCGACCCACGGGGAACUGAGUCUAGAUGUGGCACCCCGUUUUGCAAUCAGUCUUAGGCAUCAAGACGCCUAGUAGACAUAUAGAAAAGGUCAAUAUCUAUAUUUAAUAAAGGUUGCUUGCUUCUCAUAGACAUACUGUGCUAAUAUUAUAACAAGAUAUGCUUGUGUACCCAUUUUGUCUGCCAAAAUUAUGUACUGAGACAAUUCCAUGAGAUCAUAAACACGUGACCUGGACCCUAUAUAAGUGCUUGAAUGCUCCGAAUAAAUCAGACUUGGAAACCUCA